rnacentral:rRNA from 1 species
GCCGAAGGAUGCAAGCGUUAUCCGGAUUCAUUGGGUUUAAAGGGAGCGUAGGCGGCCUUCUAAGUCAGUGGUGAAAUCUCUCGGCUUAACCGAGAAAUUGCCAUUGAUACUGUAGGGCUUGAGUACAGUUGCCGUUGGCGGAAUAUGACAUGUAGUGGUGAAAUACAUAGAGAUGUCAUAGAACACCGAUUGCGAAGGCAGCUAACGAAACUGUAACUGACGCUGAGGCUCGAAAGUGCGGGGAUCAAACAGG